AAUUCUCAACCCCCCUAUUUUGUAAUGAAAUAGGCUCUGUGGGCUUGGAUUAUGGCUGCCUGUCGGCUCGUCACGAGUCGGCUCAGCUGAAAUAUACGAGCUGCCCAGCUGAAACAGCGACGGUUUGACUCGGCGUAAUAACAUAUUUCGCUGAGGACGUCCACUGUACGUUUCAAGUAGUGGUGCUCCUAAUGUAUAUCCAACUUAAAC
rnacentral:misc_RNA from 1 species